CAGCCGCCGCGGUAAUACGUAGGUGGCAAGCGUUGUCCGGAAUUAUUGGGCGUAAAGCGCGCGCAGGCGGUCUUUUAAGUCUGAUGUGAAAGCCCACGGCUCAACCGUGGAGGGUCAUUGGAAACUGGAGGACUUGAGUGCAGAAGAGGAGAGUGGAAUUCCACGUGUAGCGGUGAAAUGCGUAGAUAUGUGGAGGAACACCAGUGGCGAAGGCGGCUCUCUGGUCUGUAACUGACGCUGAGGCGCGAAAGCGUGGGGAGCAAACAGGAUUAGAGACCCGCGUAGUCCCUGUCUCUUAUAC
rnacentral:rRNA from 1 species